rnacentral:rRNA from 1 species
CCCUUAGAUGUUCUGGGCCGCACGCGCGCUACACUGAUGCAUUCAACGAGUCUAAAACCUGCUCUGAUAGGGGUGGGUAAUCUUUUGAAUGUGCAUCGUGAUUGGGAUAGAUGAUUGCAAUUUUUCAUCUUCAACGAGGAAUGCCUAGUAAACGCAAGUCAUCAGCUUGCAUUGAUUACGUCCCUGCCCUUUGUACACACCGCCCGUCGCUACUACCGAUUGGAUGGUUUAGUGAGAUCCUCGGAUUGGUCCCGGAGCGGCCUCUGGUCGUGCCGGAGUGCCGAAAAGAAUGUCGAACUUGAUCAUCUAGAGGAAGUAAAAGUCGUAACA